rnacentral:rRNA from 1 species
UACGUAGGGUGCAAGCGUUAAUCGGAAUUACUGGGCGUAAAGCGUGCGCAGGCGGUUUUGUAAGUCUGUCGUGAAAUCCCCGGGCUCAACCUGGGAAUUGCGAUGGAGACUGCAAGGCUAGAAUCUGGCAGAGGGGGGGUAGAAUUCCACGUGUAGCAGUGAAAUGCGUAGAGAUGUGGAGGAACACCGAUGGCGAAGGCAGCCCCCUGGGUCAAGAUUGACGCUCAUGCACGAAAGGCGUGG